GCCCAGGUGGUGGAAUUGGCAGACACGCUAUCUUGAGGGGGUAGUACACGCAAGUGUGUGCGGGUUCGAGUCCCGCCCUGGGCACCA
rnacentral:tRNA from 1 species